UACGUAGGGUGCGAGCGUUGUCCGGAAUUAUUGGGCGUAAAGAGCUCGUAGGCGGUGUGUCACGUCGGCCGUGAAAACCUGGGGCUUAACUCUGGGCGUGCGGUCGAUACGGGCAUCACUGGAGUUCGGCAGGGGAGACUGGAAUUCCUGGUGUAGCGGUGAAAUGCGCAGAUAUCAGGAGGAACACCGGUGGCGAAGGCGGGUCUCUGGGCCGAUACUGACGCUGAGGAGCGAAAGCGUGGGGAGCGAACAGG
rnacentral:rRNA from 1 species